UACGUAGGGACCGAGCGUUGUCCGGAUUCAUUGGGCGUAAAGCGCUCGUAGGCGGCUACUCAAGUCGGAUGUGAAACCUCGAGGCUUAACCUCGAGCCUGCAUUCGAUACUGGGUGGCUAGAGUCUGGUAGGGGGAUCUGGAAUUCCUGGUGUAGCGGUGGAAUGCGCAGAUAUCAGGAGGAACACCGGUGGCGAAGGCGGGAUCCUGGGCCAGUACUGACGCUGAGGAGCGAAAGCGUGGGGAGCAAACAGG
rnacentral:rRNA from 1 species